UUGCUUGAAGGCAGAUUGGAAAACCAAGGAAUGUGUUGCGCAUGAUGGAGGUGAGAGUAUUUUACUGCUUCUGCUCUCCAUUUGUCCCAAGACUAGCACAGCACUUGGGAAAGCAGUAACUCAGCCAUGAUGAAUACAGUAAAUCACAUGAUUACAUAUAUUUGAAUGAAUGAGUUGGUACUAAUUUUUUUCAGAUCCCAAGAAGGAAAUUACAAGUCUGAAGUCAACAGCAAACCCAGGAAGGAAAGGACAACAUUUACCAAGAGCAAAUCCAAGGACUAGAAGCAGAAUUUGCCCAUCACAACUAUGUGACUAGACUGAGGAGAUACAAGAUAGCAGAGAAUCUGGAUCUCACCAAAAGACAGGUGAAAGUGUGGUUCCAGAACAGGAGGAUGAAGUGGAAGAGGGUAAAAUUGGGCCAGCUGGGCACUGCUGCCUGAGAAAAGGAACUGGUGAACGUGAAGAAAGGAACCCUGUUCCCUUCAGAGAUAUCAGGGAUCGGUGCAGCCAUGCUCCAGCAAACAGGGGACUCUCCGGACAAUGAAGACAGCCACAACAGCGACCACAGCUCAGAGCAUGCACACUUAUGAUCCACACAGACAGGACCAACUCCAUCCUCAGGAAAGAAGCACCGUGAUGAAAUGGUGUCAGACAAGGAGCAAAGCCAAAUGGGCUCCCCAAGGGGAUAGACAAAACAAUUCUGAAUGUCUUCAAAUUAAAUUCAGUAAAAACACA